rnacentral:lncRNA from 1 species
CCUGGACUUCGACCUAGGCACCACGUCUGCCGGCUUCCAUCAGUCGUCGGUGAGUCUGUCUAUUCGCGAAUGAAUCCUGCGACAGCUGCCGAGUCCAACGGAUCAUUAAUGCGUGACCGCACCAAAGGGUGUGGGGGUGGGGUGAGGCCGGUCAAUGCGAAACUGACUUCGACAAGAGACAUUCCUUCGCAUAGUACUACUACAUACUACAGAUAGGCCCCGGCAUAGAAGGGGCCCAUGCAAGGGGUUUUACACAUGCCGAGCAUACGUGUUUGGCGAAGAUUCGCUUAUUGAGAAUGUCCCUUGGCUGUGGCUAGACAUACUCGGGGCAUGUGAUGCUUGCAGGUACCGGAGACACAGGCCCUGCAAGGCGGAAAUGGUGGGAUUGGCAGGCGCCUGCGGCAACAGCUGCAGCAGCCGCUCGCCGCUACCUUUGAGAUGGGUUCCUUCGCCGCGCCGAUAAUCACCAUCGCCCUGAUGCAUGUACCAACUGCGGGGCCGCGUAGCCGCAAAUACUUUGCGUUUUGGCGUCCCUAUAACGCGAGCCACAGGCAGUCCGCGGCAACGUUCGACCUUGACAGCCGCAAGGUGUGCAAAGCAAUUUGCCCACACCGGCCUUGCCUUAAUCUUUAUCCAAAGCGUCUCCCCAAUUCUACUUCUUCACGACGCGAGGACAUAUCACUAAUGACGAAAGGGCAGCAGAGGACAAAUGCAAAAGUAACAGCUGAUGAGAGAUUCUGGAUGAAUGGUUCGUGCUCAAAUAUUAAUCUAACUGUUUCGUUUCCACCACCAAUCCAUGGCGCUGGUAUGACUAACACAGUGCUUGCGUACGUG